AUCACUGGGCUUAAAGCGUACGCAGGCGGACUGGAAAGUACCUUGUGAAAUCCCUCGGCUCAACCGAGGAACUGCUUGGUAUACUGCUAGUCUUGAGUGUGGUAGAGGCGGUCGGAACGAUAGGUGGAGCGGUGAAAUGCGUAGAUAUCUAUCGGAACGCCAAAGGUGAAGACAGGCCGCUGGGCCACCACUGACGCUCAUGUACGAAAGCGUGGGUAGCGAACGGGAUUAGAUACCCCGGUAGUCCACGCCGUAAACGAUGUGCACUAGACUCGAGAGGAUCUGACGCCCUUCGAGUCGCAGAGAAAUCAUUAAGUGCACCGCCUGGGGAGUACGGUCGCAAGGCUAAAACUCAAAGGAAUUGACGGGGGCUCACACAAGCGGUGGAGCAUGUGGCUUAAUUCGAAGCAACGCGAAGAACCUUAUCCUGGAUUGAACUACGGCGGAUUAGUGAUGUGAAAGCAUCAUGACGCAGUUUACUGUGGAACGUCGAUAGGUGCUGCAUGGCUGUCGUCAGCUCGUGCUGUGAAGUGUCGGGUUAAGUCCCUUAACGAGCGAAACCCCUAUCGUUAGUUGCUAACAUGUAAUGGUGAGGACUCUAACGAGACUGCCGGUGUCAAACCGGAGGAAGGUGGGGAUGACGUCAAGUCCUCAUGGCCUUUAUGUCCAGGGCUGCACACGUGCUACAAUGGCGUAUACAGAGCGACGCGAGACCGCGAGGUGGAGCAAAUCGCAAAAAGUACGCCCCAGUUCGGAUUGGAGUCUGCAACUCGACUCCAUGAAGGUGGAAUCGCUAGUAAUCGCGUAUCAGCUACGACGCGGUGAAUACGUUCCUGAGCCUUGUACACACCGCCCGUCAAGUCAUGGAAGCCGGGAGUGCCCGAAGCCGCCCUGAAUCAGGGGUGUCUAAGGUAAGUUCGGUGACUGGGACUAAGUCGUAACAAGGUAACC
rnacentral:rRNA from 1 species